UAGUCCACGCCGUAAACGAUGUCAACUAGCCGUUGGGUCCAUUUAAGGGCUUAGUGGCGCAGCUAACGCGAUAAGUUGACCGCCUGGGGAAUACGGCCGCAAGGCUAAAACUCAAAGGAAUUGGCGGGGACCCGCACAAGCAGCGGAGCGUGUGGUUUAAUUCGAGGCAACGCGAAGAACCUUACCGGGCCUUGACAUAUACGUGGUACUGAUCAGAAAUGUGAUGGACUCUUCGGAGAGCGUAUACAGGUGCUGCAUGGCUGUCGUCAGCUCGUGCCGUGAGGUGUUCGGUUAAGUCCGAUAACGAGCGCAACCCACGUCGUCAGUUACAAGUGUCUGGCGAGACUGCCGGUGAUAAGCCGGAGGAAGGUGUGGAUGACGUCAAGUCAGCAUGGCCUUUAUGGUCCGGGCUACACACACGCUACAAUGGCCGAUACAAUGGGUAGCGAAGCCGCGAGGUGAAGCCAAUCUUGCAAAGUCGGUCUCAGUUCGGAUUGCAGG
rnacentral:rRNA from 1 species